GACGAACGCUGGCGGCGUGCUUAACACAUGCAAGUCGAACGAAGUGGCGAACGGGUGAGUAACGCGUAAUCAACCUGCCCUUCAGAGGGGGACAACAGUUGGAAACGUCUGCUAAUACCGCAUACUGAAGGAGGGGUUUGCGUCUGAUUAGCUAGUGGGAGGGGUAACGGCCCACCAAGGCGGUGAUCAGUAGGCGGUCUGAGAGGAGGAACGGCCACAUGGGGAAUGAUGCACGGCACAGGCUCCUACGGGAGGCAGCAGGGGGGAAUCUGCCGCAAUGGACGAAAGUCUGACGGAGCAACGGCGCGUGAGUGAUGACGGCCUUCGGGUUGUAAAGCUCUGUUAAUCGGGACGCGGUACCGGAAUAGAAAGCCACGGCUAACUACGUGCCAGCAGCCGCGGUAAUUC
rnacentral:rRNA from 1 species